rnacentral:pre_miRNA from 1 species
GAUUUCAACUGAAAAAGUUAUCAACAACAAAUGUUGUAUAACUCAUCAAGAUCUAUAACUUUUAUUUUGGUCAUUUCUUUAUCCGAUAAAGUGAUAGUAACAUUAUUCAAAUAUGUGAAUUUUGUGAACAAUGUUACUAACACUUUAUUGGAUGAAGAAAUGAUAAAAAUAAAAGUUAUAGAUCUUGAUGAGUUAUACAACUUUGUUGUUCAUGACUUUUUUAGUUAAAAUC